rfam:Wolbachia endosymbiont of Onchocerca ochengi complete genome, strain wOo
GCCGUUAUAGCUUAGAUGGUAGAGCAUGUCAUUGGUAAUGACAAGGUCCCAAGUUCAAGUCUUGGUAACGGCA